GAUGAAGAACGUAGCGAAAUGCGAUAAGUAAUGUGAAUUGCAGAAUUCAGUGAAUCAUCGAAUCUUUGAACGCACAUUGCGCCCGCUAGUAUUCUGGCGGGCAUGCCUGUUCGAGCGUCAUUUCAACCAUCAAGCCCCAGGCUUGCGUUGGGGACCUGCGGCUGCCGCAGGCCCUGAAAACCAGUGGCGGGCUCGCUGUCACACCGGGCGUAGUAGAUUUUAUCUCGCUCAGGGCGUGCUGCGGGUUCCGGCCGUUAAAAAGCCUUUUUUACCCAAGGUUGACCUCGGAUCAGGUAGGAAGACCCGCUGAACUUAAGCAUAUCAAUAAGCGGAGGA
rnacentral:misc_RNA from 1 species